rnacentral:rRNA from 1 species
AUGGUCGUGUGCGACUUCGACCUGAACUUCACCUUCAUUUCUUGUGGCUGGGAGGGAUCUUCUACCGAUGCUAAAGUUCUCUGGUCAGCACUUAAUAGUGGGUUUCAUGUACCUCCGGGCAAGUUUUAUCUGGUUGAUGGUGGUUAUGCCAACACACCUUACUUCUUGGCACCGUAUCGUGGUGUUCGGUACCAUCUGAAGGAGUUUGCACACGGUCGCCGUCGACCCCAAAAUCACAGGGAGCUAUUCAAUCUCCGGCAUGCCGUGUUACGAAAUCACGUCGAACGGGGAUUAGGAAUCUUGAAGAAGCAGUUCCCAAUCCUAAAAGUGGGCACGCAUCAUCGAAUAGAGAACCAAGUCAAGCUACCAGCAGCGGCGGCAAUCUUACAUAACAUCAUCCGAUCUGAAAAAGGAGAUGAGCGUUGGUUAGAUAACCAACCAAACAAUAUACCUGUCAUGAAUUUUUUUGAUCUUCCUGACGGUGAUAUUCCUCAAAAUCAUCAAAUCAACCAUGAAGGCGACAACCUUAGAGAUGCCAUUGCUCAUCAAAUGUGGGCUGAUUAUCGACAUGCAUAA